AAAAUGCGAUACGCAGUGCGAAUUGCAGAAUUCCGUGAAUCAUCAGAUCUUUGAACGCAUCUUGCGCUCCCGGGUUACGCCUGAGAGCAUGUCUGUUUCAGUGUCUUUUAAUCAACUCAUUAACCCUUCAUGGGCUUAAUGGAGAGUGAGGGUCAGCUAUUUAGUUGUCCCUUUAAGCAUAUGGCCAGGAACUCACGAUUUACGAGUCCUAACACGUGCAGUGUAGUAGUCACACUUCCUGUGUGAAUCUCACUGCACGAGGACUUGGUGUGAGAACGUCUGGCUAGUUGAGUGGACUUGGUCUAACUAAGUUACUCAUUCUUUCAAACUGAGACCUGAAAUCAGGCAAGAUUACCCGCUGAACUUAA
rnacentral:misc_RNA from 1 species